rnacentral:tRNA from 1 species
GCCUGGCUAGCUCAGUUGGUGGAGCAUGUGACUCUUGAUCGGAGGGUUGUGAGUUCAAGUCCCAUGUUGGGUG